rnacentral:ncRNA from 1 species
UUGAGCCGUAUGAGGGGAAACUCUCACGUACGGUUCUUAGGGGAGGGAUGGGCAGCAAUGUCCAUCUCUUACCCGAC